rnacentral:rRNA from 1 species
GACGAACGCUGGCGGCGUGCUUAACACAUGCAAGUCGAACGGAAAGGCCCUGCUUUUGUGGGGUGCUCGAGUGGCGAACGGGUGAGUAACACGUGAGUAACCUGCCCUUGACUUUGGGAUAACUUCAGGAAACUCGGGCUAAUACCGGAUAGGAGCUCCUGCUGCAUGGUGGUGGUUGGAAAGUUUCGGCGGUUGGGGCUGGAAUCGCGGGUUAUCAGCUUGUUGGUGGGGUAGUGGCUUACCAAGGCUUUGACGGGUAGCCGGCCUGAGAGGGUGACCGGCCACAUUGGGACUGCGGUAGGGCCCAGAAUCCUACGGGAGGCAGCAGUGGGGAAUAUUGCACAAUGGGCGGAAGCCUGAUGCAGCAACGCCGCGUGCGGGAUGACGGCCUUCGGGUUGUAAACCGCUUUCGCCUGUGACGAAGCGUGCGUGACGGUAAUGGGUAAAGAAGCACCGGCUAACUACGUG